UACGCUCUUGAGCAAUCAAGCAAGCUGCUUAGCUUUUGAUAUAUUCAUUUUUGCCAAACUUGAUGUGUCGAGCUUUGAGCUACAAACUUGAUGGAAUGUGCUUGGCCAUGGAAGAGGGGGUGGCACUAUCUUUCCUCCUUCAGAUCAGGGUGUUCCUCCUGCUGUGAUUGAGUCUGGUGUUUUUCCUCGGCUUGUGGAGCUUCUCUUGUA